AACGUAGGACGCAAGCGUUAUCCGGAGUUACUGGGCGUAAAGCGCGCGCAGGCGGCUCGACAAGUUCGCUGUGAAAGCUCCCGGCUCAACCGGGCGAGGCCAGUGGAAACUAUCGAGCUGGAGGGCAGUAGAGGCAGGCGGAAUUCCGGGUGGAGUGGUGAAAUGCGUAGAGAUCCGGAGGAACACCAGAGGCGAAGGCGGCCUGCUGGGCUGCACCUGACGCUGAGCCGCGAAAGCCAGGGGAGCGAACGGG
rnacentral:rRNA from 1 species